rnacentral:rRNA from 1 species
UACGAAGGGGGCUAGCGUUGCUCGGAAUUACUGGGCGUAAAGCGCACGUAGGCGGCUUUCUAAGUCGGGGGUGAAAUCCUGGAGCUCAACUCCAGAACUGCCUUCGAUACUGGAGAGCUUGAGUCCGGGAGAGGUGAGUGGAACUGCGAGUGUAGAGGUGAAAUUCGUAGAUAUUCGCAAGAACACCAGUGGCGAAGGCGG